AUAGAAACUCCAAGAAAACAGGUCUUAAUGAGAUCAGGAACAGCAAGCACAUGAGGCAUUUCUGGAUUGCAAGUGUGCACCAUAUCCAGAUUUUAUGUGGGUUCUAAGGAUCAACUUCCAUCCAUCGUAGGAUCAUACCACCUCCUCACCCUUCCCCCAGCCUGGUGCAGGCUGAUUCAGACCUUGCUCUGCCACAGUCCACUAGCACACCUACCAUGGAGCCUUCUGAUCUAGGUGAAGUCUAUUGUCCUGACACUUCUGCAGCUUCCUGAAAGAAGCCACCACCUACUGACUUACUGAGUCUGUCUGCUUGCUGGAGCUCCUGACAACCAACAAGACUCUGAUAAAGCAAUGAGAUCCUGGCACUGAGGGGGAUGGGUCCCCUCCCUUUAUAUACUCAGACUCCUAAGUAAACAUUGGGCUUUGAUCAGAAA